rnacentral:rRNA from 1 species
UACGUAGGGGGCUAGCGUUGUCCGGAUUUAUUGGGCGUAAAGAGCGUGUAGGCGGCCUGGUAGGUCUGCUGUGAAAACUCGAGGCUCAACCUCGAGAUGUCGGCGGAAACCAUCUGGCUAGAGUCCGGAAGAGGAGAGUGGAAUUCCUGGUGUAGCGGUGAAAUGCGCAGAUAUCAGGAAGAACACCUAUGGCGAAGGCAGCUCGCUGGGACGUUACUGACACUGAGGCGCGAAAGCGUGGGGAGCGAACAGG